CGUAGGGUGCGAGCGUUAAUCGGAAUUACUGGGCGUAAAGCGUGCGCAGGCGGUUUGUUGUGUCGGCGGUGAAAGCCCCGGGCUCAACCUGGGAAUGGCCGUUGAAACUGGCGAACUGGAGUGUGGCAGAGGGGGGUGGAAUUCCGCGUGUAGCAGUGAAAUGCGUAGAGAUGCGGAGGAACACCGAUGGCGAAGGCAGCCCCCUGGGCUGACACUGACGCUCAGGCACGAAAGCGUGGGGAGCAAACAGG
rnacentral:rRNA from 1 species